CAUACCUGGAAGCGGCAGUGAAAUGCAGUGGACUCACAAGUAACACAACCAGGACAAAUGCAGACGUUUAAGGGGAUCAGGCCCCACCCUACAGCAGAUCACAGGUGUUUACACAUCACAGGUAACACAUUUACACCUGAUGUAAGAGGAUUUGGCCAGGUAACUGGAGGUUGAUAGCUGCUACAGCAGGAGUACAGGUGUAAACAGCACAAGAGAUGAGUCUCAAGUUAAGUCUUCAUCACAAGAUGCUGUCCUGUUUGUUAGGGAAAUCAAGAUGGCGUCUCUACCGACUCAACAGAGCGGAAAGGUGAAUGAUGGGAUUGUCAAAUGAAAGGCUACAUCUUCCCACUGGCUGGCUCCCUAUUGGUUGAACAUCUCAGUCUACUGGCUGACUGGAGUACCCAUGUGAUGUAGUCUCUACACAGCUGUGCCCUCUGCAUAGCCAGGCAUCAUUUCCAUGGAUACUGGGCACAGUUGCUUAGUUACCACAAUUGAACUAUCUUGAGCUAGAAAACUGGUGUGUUCUCUAAUUACACCUCCCUCUAGCUAAAUGGAACAGACACUCAUGGCCUGUCACAUUUAAUUCAAAGACUUCUCAUAACACUUGACCACAGCCCCAGGCCACUGGUCAUCAUAUUGGGUAUUGACCAGUAAAUUGUCAAAUUCAGGCAUAUACUGUCCUUAAUCAUCAAAAUCUCACUAUAUCUGAGGGCUGGCAAUUAUGUCACUUAUAAUAGCUAUGGGCAGAAUUUCUUUUCUUACUGUAUACAGAUCUGGUUAGGGAAGUUAGUCCACAACAGAUUAUUGACCUUCAAGGCAGACUUAAUCCAGCAGUGGCGUAAAGGGGUGUACCAACACAAUGUCAUACAAGCAUAUCUUCCAAAAAUAGAAAAAAAUAAGGAAGAAAAAAUACACUUCCUACAGCUAUUAUCUUAUACAAUUAUUUCCAGAAGUGUGGAUAACAGAAAGGGGGAAAAUGGGUUAAAACUUCAUAACACUUUAAUAGGUUGAGAAAUCAUGGAUGAGUGAGGAUGGUAUGUAUGUAUGCAGAGUAUACCUAUGUAAAUACACCUGUGUUAUCUCCACUAAUCUAGUUAGUGUGUAGACUGGCCCAGUGACUGGAGAUGAUGAUGUGUCUGAAUAUUAUGGGAUGUUAGGAUGUGUGUGUUGUUAGUGUAUACAUGUGUAUCAUGUAUAAGCUAUAUAUCUGUCCCAUCAAUGUGUCACACACACAUGGCAGCUACUGAUAAACGACUUUUAAAGUUCACAAUAAAAUAUUUGUUUAAUAAGACUUAUAAUUAAGAUAUUAGCCAUAUUAAGGGGAUACCAGGGGAGUGUGACAGAGCACACUACUAGAGAGAACAUGUACUCCCUAAUCACUGUACAGUCUACACAGAUGUCAUCAUUCCAGUCCUCCCUGGAAUCACAUGCAUGUUGUCAGUGACCCCUACAGGGCCAUGCUCAUGUCACUAAAACAGAGGGGAAUAAAGCUGGCCACAAUCGAUAUACUCUCACAGCCUGUCCUAACGCAUGUGCAAUUAUAUAUAUAUAACUAUACAGGGUAUUACAAAGACCUACCAAUUGCCAGCCCAAUUUAUGAUCUAUUAGGAUAAAAACGGCAGCACCACUGGGUUAUAGCUACUAAUAUGGGGCUACAUUUAUGAAAUAGGGUAAAAUUAUGGCCAUAUAUCUAUAUUGUCUGUAAACUGCUGGUGCGUAAAGAAGGUCAAUGUUUUUGCACAUUUUACGGGUCCAAGUGUGAAUUCAUGACCCAUUUACAGAGGUAUAAAUAGAAUGCAUUUCAAAAUGAAAAAUAGGAAAAUGUGAAAUUAUCCACCAGCAAAACAAAUAUUAUAAUAGAUGAAAGAUAUCAAUUUUAGUACAUGGAUGUUGAGUUAGUUUUCAUUACCAGCUGGGUAUUGAAUUUUAACACUAUAAGGUUUAUACACAAUUACAGAAGUUUAUAUACACAACUUUAUUAUCCAGUGCAGUUGUAAAAUAUGCAAGUCAAAGAGUCGGCAAAUAUGGAUGACUUUCACAAACAAAAUAUAUGUGUAUUGGCCUAGAGAAUAGAAAACAGUAGAAUUUGUGAUCAAAGUAUCCAUGGCAACCGUGGCAGCUGAUGACCUGGGAGUCGACACAUGUACACAGACUGGGACAGUAACUCUAUAUUAGUAUCUUUACAAUCCCUGCCCAUUUCCAUGAUAAUAACACACAACAGCUGUAGAGAAUUACAGGCAAACUAGGCCUGCCAUGUCAACAGGACCAGUAAAAUAUGUACAGCACAUAUACAGCCAUAUCACAGGGCCAGCAUGGAGGAGCAGUGUGACACAUUUAUUGCAUUCACAAAAAUAUCAAUAUACUUGGCAAUCUCUUGAUGAUUAUACCAGUUGUGGCCUAUUAUACCAAACAAAAUGUAUGCCAUGAAAUUUGCGAUUUCUGUCAUUUCGACAGAUGUUUAGUCCCUGUUGUUUGUUUUGUUCUAACCCCUUAAAGCAGCCUUAUGAUUUAGUAUUAUCUGAUCAAACACAGACAACAGAUCCCACAGGGAUCUUUAUGUUCAACAUUUGAGGGAUAAUUAACGAUUAGAAAAACAAUAGAUGUUGAUAACUCACCUUGUGUCACUCAACUCUUUGUUUGUUAAAUUGAUUCUAAUUAUAACUUUGCUUCAGAAAAUUAGAUUUGACCUUGAACUGUGACUUGGUGACUAAAACUUUCCAAUCAUCUUCUUAAGACUAAAUAAUUUGAUCAUGACCCUUGACACUGACUUUCACCUUGGAAAAUUUAUCCUCUUAUUCAUGAUUCUAAUCUACUUUGAUUGAUGAUGUAAUCACAAAUAUUUGCAAAAUGUCUUUUAACAAGAGGCCCAUGAGCUUGAUCAGUCACCUAAGUUCUAAUAUACAUUUUGUAUGUUAAAAGAUGUUUGCUUUUAAAUCAAAAUUGAACAUAUUUGACCUUUUGACCUUGAAAUUGUUAUCUCAGUACACUUCUGGCCCAAUAUUAUGACCUUAAACCUAAACUGUAAAAGGACAUAAAUUAAUACUAUCAGAUCAGUCCCGAUGAGGAAACUGUUCAAGAUUUUAUUAGUAAAAACCUCACAACAUUUCAAAUUUUAUCUAAAUCCAUUCAUAUUUACCUAAAUUAUGAUCACAAUGUCCAAUGGUAAUAAAACUGCAAAGGGCUAUAACUCUUUAUUAAAAGUUACAUCAAAUCAGUUCCAUUGCUGAACCAGUGAUUUUUCAGGCUAUUUUGGGAAAAAAAUAUUUCCUACAAAUUGGGAAAUUUUAACGUAGAAACUUUUUUGGGAAAUUUGAAACGCAUACAUAAAAGCUAUUACACAAACACAUUGGAUAUAUUUUGAUCACUUUAAUUUGUGCAGCCAUUUUUUUGCAUUUCAUGAUCAUCAAAGCGCUUUAAGUGACAUGUAACAUAAUGGGGAAAAAAGCGGUCAGGGUCAAAAUAUCUGGAAUCAAAGCCGGCAAUUUCUUGGGAAUUUUAGCAGAGCAAUUGGGAAUUUUUUUUAAUGAAAUCUCUGGGAAUGGUAUCUGACUCUUAAUGAUAUAAAUCAUGCUGAACUCAUCCGACCUCUUAAUGAUAUAAAUAAUUUACUCAUCAUAUUCACAAAGCCUAAUGGCAAUAAAACCACUAAGGGCCAUAACUCUAAGGUACAACUGAAUCGACCCAAUCAUCACUCAUCCUAGAUCUUAUUGAUAUAAGGCUGCGUACCAAGUUUCAUGAAAAUCAGUUCAUAUUUACGAAAAUUAUCAUGUUCACAUUGUCUGAUGGAAAUAAAAAUACAAAAGGCGACAACUCUACAACUGAAUUGACUCGAUUGUCGAAGAUCCGAGAUAUUAACAAUAUAUGGCUGCACACCAAGUUUCAAUAAAAUGCGUUCAUAUUUACACAAGUUAUUUCACAUAAGAAAAAGUUCACACCAGGCAGACAACACCCAAGGACAGAAAAAAGGCCAUUGCAAUAGGUCACCAUGAACCUUCAUCUUUAGAUGACCUAAAAAUACAACAACCCACCUUCAAUUCUGACAAAAUUGACCUGAAAUCAAACUUUCUCUGAUGACUACAAUCAACUAGCAACCUCAGCAUAUCAUACCAAAAUAUUAUCUCAUCCAUUAGAGUUUAAAGUGAUAAAUAAAUCCAGUUUGGCCAGUCGAAAUAGUGAAGGUUGUUCAUGAACAGACUAGCAAUGGAAGAAAGGUGAUUUGAUAAUGAAAUAGAUAUAGAUAAUAACCAGUAAUAUCCACAAUAUCCUCCAUUUAAUUGAUGCAUGUUUUACUGGAUGAAAUGGAUGAGUAUAAAUAUAGUAUUGUUCUGGGUUUUAUUUCAGCCAAAAUAUAAGCAAAAUGCAGGAGGAAAGUAUUAUGCAGUGAUGUGUAUUGGGUGAUCUUUAUAAAUUUGCAAAAACACAGAAUAAUAUAAUCUACACAUAUGAUUUAUUUUUCAGUUAUAAAUCUCAAUAAAAUAUUGGUAUUUCAUAAA